ACAUAAUAGCUCUCUUUCUCUCUGUUUUAGGAUUCCCUCUCUCUCCCCCGUUUCUCUUUUUUUCUCUCACGCCAGUCGUCUUUUCGAGCUCCGACGACCACCUUGUCAACCUCCGAUUGGUACACGAGCUGACCAAAAGAUCAGAGUCCACCGAACGAUCGGUCACGUGGGCCAUCAGACCUCACUCGCCGAUUAAGCCUCCCAAACACUUGCUUGAAGUUCCAAUGUCAAUUUUGGUUUUAGCUUCGAUCCGACCACCUCGAGCCUCUGUUGGCCAAGCGACCACCACCAUCAUGUUCCUUACAUCAUAGGCUUCAAAACCCACCAAAGGAUCAGACUCAAUGGUCAUCAGAGUUUGAAGUUGACGUUCGCUGGAAUCCAUGGAGAUUUCAGAACUUUCAAGCUUAGAUCCAAGCCAUUCCAAGCUAAACCACCACCACCAUGAUAUUUCCCAUGGCUUGGGCUUCAAAACCUAUUAGUUAGUUUCCCAAACCAUUACCGUUGAGUGGUGGCGCUGCUGCCGUUGCCGGAGCUCCACCGUGAGUUAUGGUCGGCAACUACCUCAGGGGCUUUAAAGCCUCUUUUCGAGUUCCACAAAAGAACGCUCAACUCAUGUCGAGUCCCGAACGUGUUGGUUUUAAAAAGUUGGGGAUGUCCGAUUUGUAGUCGUUGUGCUGCCCUUUUUCUAGAAAUUUACGGACUCGUGUCGAGUUAAUUUUUAUAAAAAUCGAUAUCAAAGGGUAAAUUGUGAUUUUUGAAAUCCCUAGUGAAAAUUUAAAGCUAAGUCAUAAUCUUUACAAAAUGAAAUUUGUUAAUUAAGAGUCAUAAUCCCAAAAGCUGGGCUCGUCAGUUGUAAGCUCGAAGAAUGCAUGGUCGUCAGUUGAUCCUUCAGUCAAACUGCUCUGCUGUAAUUACCGACCUUAAAAAGCUCGAGGGUGUGUAGCCUCGAAUAUGUUCUAAGCUCGCACGGCAUGACACUUAAAUAUAUUUUUUACCAAUUGCCUUCAGGCGAGAUAGCUUGAACUCAGGAAGUACAAGCUCAGAUGUAGUAGCUUCGUUGGCAUCUACAUGUCCCGAGCAUAGCACGAAGUUGGGUGGCAAGCUCAUGAAUGACUCAUGGUCUUGACAGAGUCAAUGCUAAUGGCCGAUCUCGAAGAUUUGAUGAUUUAUCUGAAAUAGCCCAUUACGUGUGAAUGUGUUUAUUAUUUUUUAAUCCCUUAAUUUAAGGGAUAUCAUUUAAUCUGUUAUUCGUUCCAUGGGACAUUUCCAUGUAUAUAGGAGAUAAUGCAUUUAAUAUCAUUAUUUCAAUUGAUAUACAAAAUAUCUUCCUGAAACAUGUGGGAAUGAACUUUGUAACCUUCUCUAUAAAUAGAGAAGGAAUCACUACUUGUAGGGGAUGGAUUCUUGAUUUCUUGAGAAAAUAGUUUUGGAGAAUUCAUCUUUGAAGAAUUUCCAGAAAACUCUAAGCCUUAAUAACAUAGACUCGUGGACUGGCAGAAUUAACUGUUGAACCACGUAAAAAUCUU